GACCCUUGACACCAAUACUCGCACAACAUGAUGUAUUCGAUGUAUGAUUGUGUCUAGACAAGUAAAUAGACAGAUGAAUAAAUAGAUGGAUGAAUAAAUAGACAGAUAUACAGAUGGUGGUGAAAGUUGCUAAUGGAUUGAUGUUUGUAGACAGCCAAUUUCUCAAUAUGUUUCUUUACUUUGGAAGUCGGAGGAGUUACAGGUGCCAGGGGAGUUGGAAUUAACAGGAGUUGGGGUCUUACAGGAAUUAUGAGUGUGACUGCAGUUAUAGGAGUUGUGGGAUACUGAAGUAUUACAGGUGUUUACUGGAGGUUUAUUCUGUUUACAGAAUUUACUGAGGUAGGGUGGAGUUGCUGGAGGUAGAAGGAGGUUAGGGGAGUUGCUGGAGCUAGGGGUAGUUGCUGGAGCUAGGGGUAGUUGCUGGAGCUAGGGGUAGUUGCUGAAGGUAGGGGGAGUUGCUGGAGGUAAGGGGAGUUGCUGGAGGUAGGAGGAGGUAAGGGGAGUUGCUGGAGGUAGGGGGAGUAAGGGGAGUUGCUGGAUGUAGGAGGAGUUAGGGGAGGUGCUGCAGGUAGGGGGAGGUGCUGGAGGUAGGGAGAGUUAGGGGAGUUGCUGGAGGUAGGGAGAGUUAGGGGAGUUGCUGCAGGUAGGGGGAGGUGCUGGAGGUAGGGGAGUUGCUGGAGGUAGGGAGAGUUAGGGGAGUUGCUGGAGGUAGGGAGAGUUAGGGGAGUUGCUGGAGGUAGGGAGAGUUAGGGGAGUUGCUGGAGGUAGGGAGAGUUAGGGGAGUUGCUGGAGGUAGGGGGAGUUAGGCGAGUUGCUGGAGGUAGGGGGAGUUUCUGAAGGUAGGGGAAGGUAAGGGAAGUUGCUGGAGGUUGGGGGAGUUUCUGAAGGUAGGGGAAGGUAAGGGAAGUUGCUGGAGGUUGGGGAGUUGCUGGAGUUAGGGGGAGUUGCUGGAGGUUGGGGGAGUUUCUGAAGGUAGGGGAAGGUAAGGGAAGUUGCUGGAGGUUGGGGAGUUGCUGGAGUUAGGGGGAGUUGCUGGAGGUUGGGGAGUUGCUGGAGGUUGGGGAGUUAUAAGUAUUAUGUGAGUUACAGUGUUACGGCUGUUCAAGGUAUAAAGGUGUUAAUCUUAUUUUGUGUGUGUGUGUGUGUGUGUGUGUAUUUUAGGUUCUUCUCUGUGGCGGUUGUGAUGGGGAGGAGCUCCAUGCUGUGAUUAUCUGUUAUGCAGAUUAGGCCACGCCCAUCUCUGACAGUCCUCUACAGUAAUCUUAAAUGUUUUCUUAGCCUGAAUGUUUUUUUUUGUUUUGUUUUGUUUUAGUUUUUUAUGUGUUAAUCAGGUGAUGUCCUGCAGUUAUUGAUGUUUAUUUGAUGCGAGGUGUUAGCCUGUGUUUUUGUUUUUUAAUCUAUAUUCUCCAUAUGUUCCUCUCAGACUGUACUCUCUCAUACACACACCAAUAAACAGCACAGUAAACAGUGUGACACACACUAGGCUCUGAGCUGGUUAUUCCCUCACCCCGAGUUUCAGCUGUCUGCACCUGCAGUGUGGAGAAUGUACAG
ensembl:lncRNA